ACAUACACUACCAUUCAAAAUGUUUUUAAAGAUCCAAUAAGAAAGAUCCAAAGAUUAGCAUUUAUCUGAAAUAAAAAGCUUUUGUAACAUUAUACAUAUACCAUUAAAA